UACGUAGGGCGCGAGCGUUAUCCGGAAUUACUGGGCGUAAAGCGCACGUAGGCGGCGACUCAAGUCAGAGGUGAAAGCCCGGGGCUCAACCCCGGAACUGCCUUUGAAACUAGGUUGCUAGAAUCCUGGAGAGGUGAGUGGAAUUCCGAGUGUAGAGGUGAAAUUCGUAGAUAUUCGGAAGAACACCAGUGGCGAAGGCGACUCACUGGACAGGUAUUGACGCUGAGGUGCGAAAGCGUGGGGAGCAAACAGG
rnacentral:rRNA from 1 species